GGAUNACUCCGGGAAACCGGGGCUAAUACCGGANGGUUGUUUGAACCGCAUGGUUCAAACAUAAAAGGUGGCUUCGGCUACCACUUACAGAUGGACCCGCGGCGCAUUAGCUAGUUGGUGAGGUAAUGGCUCACCAAGGCAACGAUGCGUAGCCGACCUGAGAGGGUGAUCGGCCACACUGGGACUGAGACACGGCCCAGACUCCUACGGGAGGCAGCAGUAGGGAAUCUUCCGCAAUGGACGAAAGUCUGACGGAGCAACGCCGCGUGAGUGAUGAAGGUUUUCGGAUCGUAAAGCUCUGUUGUUAGGGAAGAACAAGUACCGUUCGAAUAGGGCGGUACCUUGACGGUACCUAACCAGAAAGCCACGGCUAACUACGUGCCAGCAGCCGCGGUAAUACGUAGGUGGCAAGCGUUGUCCGGAAUUAUUGGGCGUAAAGGGCUCGCAGGCGGUUUCUUAAGUCUGAUGUGAAAGCCCCCGGCUCAACCGGGGAGGGUCAUUGGAAACUGGGGAACUUGAGUGCAGAAGAGGAGAGUGGAAUUCCACGUGUAGCGGUGAAAUGCGUAGAGAUGUGGAGGAACACCAGUGGCGAAGGCGACUCUCUGGUCUGUAACUGACGCUGAGGAGCG
rnacentral:rRNA from 1 species